AUAUGGCGCACCGAGUACAGGGGUGUUGCACAGCAAAUCAUUGCAGGAUCCUGGACAGAGAAGACUGCUCUGGAUUUUGAGGGGCUUCCGAAGCAGACCCAUGGGAAUGACUGUGGUGUCUUCAUGAUAAUGUAUGCCUGGUAUUUUGCCAUGGAGGCCAGCUUUGACUUCAGCAUUCAUGACAUGUCUCUCCUGAGAAGGUGGUGGUGUGUUAUCCUGGUGGAAAACUUUGGACUGGAAGGGUAUGCUGCAGUGCUACAAAAACAUUUGAAUUUGUAAUUGUAUUAUCAAGAAGAUUUGGGGGGAACACCUGGC